UGGAGAGUUUGAUCCUGGCUCAGGACGAACGCUGGCGGCGUGCCUAAUACAUGCAAGUCGAGCGAAUCUUUGGGAGCUUGCUCCCAUUUGGUUAGCGGCGGACGGGUGAGUAACGCGUGGGGAAUCUGCCUUUGAGCGGGGGACAACAUUUGGAAACGAAUGCUAAUACCGCAUAACAACUUUAAACAUAAGUUUUAAGUUUGAAAGAUGCAAUUGCAUCACUCAAAGAUGAUCCCGCGUUGUAUUAGCUAGUUGGUGAGGUAAAGGCUCACCAAGGCGAUGAUACAUAGCCGACCUGAGAGGGUGAUCGGCCACAUUGGGACUGAGACACGGCCCAAACUCCUACGGGAGGCAGCAGUAGGGAAUCUUCGGCAAUGGACGAAAGUCUGACCGAGCAACGCCGCGUGAGUGAAGAAGGUUUUCGGAUCGUAAAACUCUGUUGGUAGAGAAGAACGUUGGUGAGAGUGGAAAGCUCAUCAAGUGACGGUAACUACCCAGAAAGGGACGGCUAACUACGUGCCAGCAGCCGCGGUAAUACGUAGGUCCCGAGCGUUGUCCGGAUUUAUUGGGCGUAAAGCGAGCGCAGGUGGUUUAUUAAGUCUGGUGUAAAAGGCAGUGGCUCAACCAUUGUAUGCAUUGGAAACUGGUAGACUUGAGUGCAGGAGAGGAGAGUGGAAUUCCAUGUGUAGCGGUGAAAUGCGUAGAUAUAUGGAGGAACACCGGUGGCGAAAGCGGCUCUCUGGCCUGUAACUGACACUGAGGCUCGAAAGCGUGGGGAGCAAAC
rnacentral:rRNA from 2 species